UGGCCCUAAAGAAGGACAUAAACUCUGGAGCUAGACUGCUCGGCUUCAGAUCCCAGCUCUGCCUCUUGCUAGCUGUGGAUCUUUGGGAGAGUCAG
rnacentral:miRNA from 1 species